AUUGAACGCUGGCGGCAGGCCUAACACAUGCAAGUCGAGCGGGAACUUCGGUUCUAGCGGCGGACGGGUGAGUAAUGCGUAGGAAGCUACCCGAUAGAGGGGGAUACCAGUUGGAAACGACUGUUAAUACCGCAUAAUGUCUACGGACCAAAGUGUGGGACCUUCGGGCCACAUGCUAUCGGAUGCGCCUACGUGGGAUUAGCUAGUUGGUGAGGUAAUGGCUCACCAAGGCGACGAUCCCUAGCUGGUUUGAGAGGAUGAUCAGCCACACUGGAGCGGAGGCACGGUCCAGACUCGGACGGGAGGCAGCAGUGGGGAAUAUUGGACGAUGGGCGCAAGCCUGAUCCAGCCAUGCCGCGUGUGUGAAGAAGGCCUUCGGGUUGUAAAGCACUUUCAGCGAGGAGGAAGGAGUUGUAGUUAAUAGCUGCAACUUUUGACGUUACUCGCAGAAGAAGCGCCGGCUAACUCUGUGCCAGCAGCCGCCGCCGUAA
rnacentral:rRNA from 1 species